rnacentral:misc_RNA from 1 species
ACAAAUCAGAUCAAUACAAAAGUGGAAAGACACACUGACCAAGAGCAUCGAUGUUGCAGGGACGAAGUUCGUCUAUCGGCAACUCGGGCCUGCGGCCGGUGUCCCGUUGAUCAUGCUGAAUCACUGGGGCGCGGUGCUGGAUAAUUUCGAUCCGCGUAUUGUCGACGGCCUCGCAGCGACCAGGCCUGUGAUAGCCCUCAACUAUCGGGGCGUCGGUGCAUCGGGCGGCGCUGCGCCGCUCACAGUGGCAGAGAUGGCCG